GAUGAAGAACGUAGCCAAAUGCGAUAAGUAAUGUGAAUUGCAGAAUUCAGUGAAUCAUCGAAUCUUUGAACGCACAUUGCGCCCCUUGGUAUUCCGAGGGGCAUGCCUGUUCGAGCGUCAUUACAACCCCUCAAGCUCAGCUUGGUGUUGGGGCCUGCUGCACUGGCAGCCCUUAAAAUCAGUGGCGGCGCCAUCUGGCUCUAAGCGUAGUAAUUCUUCUCGCUAUGGAGUCCUGGUGGAUGCUUGCCAUCAACCCCCAAUUUUUCUAUGGUUGACCUCGGAUCAGGUAGGGAUACCCGCUGAACUUAAGCAUAUCAAUAAGCGGAGGA
rnacentral:misc_RNA from 1 species